ACACUUGUGUCGUCGUCACUCUGAAACAGCACUUUCAGAAACAACCAUGGGUCGUUAUGGUGUGGCUGUUCUGGCUCUGCUCGUUCUCCUGAUGCUUUAUGUUGCAGAGAACGAGGCUCUGAGUUGCGACAGGAUCUAUGGGACAACAUGUAGAUCUGAGUGUCUGUCAUAUGAAUAUGCACUUAGUGUGGGCUGCGGCGACCAACUGUGUUGCUAUUAUUAUUAAUGGGCCUCAUUCAGACAGAGCUGGAAUCAGAUGGUUGGACAGACAGAAGAUGAUGUCGUUAACUCUACUGACCUCGAAAUAUUCAAAUCAAUUCUUCUGCUGAUUUCAGUUCAGGUGGAAUAAAAAUAUUCCCUUAACAUCA